rnacentral:rRNA from 1 species
GACGAACGCUGGCGGCGUGCCUAACACAUGCAAGUCGAACGGAGAUACGAUUUCGGUUGUAUCUUAGUGGCGAACGGGUGAGUAACGCGUGAACAACCUGACUCUAAGAGGGGGAUAACACUCGGAAACGGGUGCUAAUACCGCAUAAGACCACGACCCGGCAUCGGGAUGAGGUCAAAGGAGCAAUCCGCUGAGAGAGGGGUUCGCGUCCCAUUAGAUAGAUGGCGGGGUAACGGCCCACCAUGUCAACGAUGGGUAGCCGAGCUGAGAGGAUGAUCGGCCACACUGGAACUGAGACACGGUCCAGACUCCUACGGGAGGCAGCAGUGGGGAAUAUUGGGCAAUGGGCGCAAGCCUGACCCAGCAACGCCGAGUGAGGGAAGAAGGCUUUCGGGUUGUAAACCUCUGUCCUUGGUGACGAAACAAAUGACGGUAGCCAAGGAGGAAGCCCCGGCUAACUACGUGCCAGCCGCCGCCGUAAUAC